CCUACGGGUGGCAGCAGUGAGGAAUAUUGGUCAAUGGACGAGAGUCUGAACCAGCCAAGUAGCGUGAAGGAUGACUGCCCUAUGGGUUGUAAACUUCUUUUAUAUGGGAAUAAAAUGUUCCACGUGUGGGAUUUUGUAUGUACCAGAUGAAUAAGGCUCGGCUAACUCCGUGCCAGCAGCCGCGGUAAUACGGAGGAUCCGAGCGUUAUCCGGAUUUCUUGGGGUUAAAGGGAGCGUAGGUGGAUUGUUAAGUCAGUCGUGAAAGUUUGCGGCUCAACCGUAAAAUUGCAGUUGACACUGGCAGUCUUGAGUACAGUAGAGGUAGGCGGAAUUCGUGGUGUAGCGGUGAAAUGCUUAGAUAUCACGAAGAACUCCGAUUGCGAAGGCAGUUCACUGGACUGCAACUGACGCUGAGGCUCGAAAGUGUGGGUAUCGAACAGGAUUAGAUACCCUAGUAGUC
rnacentral:rRNA from 1 species